ACCAUUUCUUUCUUUUUUUUUGUUUUAGCUAAAUUACAAAAAAUUCACUGUCAAUAUCUGCUUUUUUACUUCUCCCAUGCCCAUUUAAAAACCUAUAAUUUGCCCCCUUAUAAAAUAAAAAAUGUUUAUUUUACCCCCUGCCGUUAGUGCCUCGUUAGGGUUCCGUUUAUAAAAUUUGUUAUAUAUUUUUUAUACCAAAAAUACUCUCAGCCUCUUCUCCUGCCGCCUCGCCCUCCUUCGAUGCCUCGCCUUUUCCCUCGUUGUCCUUGCCCAUCUCUUGAUCCACGCCCACCUCGAUUUUCUCUCUAUUGUUGUCGAAAUGGAGCGGUGACAAGAGUGCAAGAGGAGAAGGAGAGCAGGUGGAGAAGAAAAUAGAAAGAACCGUGGCCGAUAGAGGCGCGUACCGCGGCCGAUCGAGGCGGUGGAUGAGCAAAAUGAGGAAGGGGAUGAAAAUGGUGAUGGACAAAUUGGUCAUUGUGUCAUCACAGUUCACACCGUAACCCCCUCUGAACAUUUUUUAUAUUACAAGGGGGUAAACUAUAGGUUUUUAAAUGACAGCAAGGAAAGUAAAAAAGCAGAUAUUGACAGGAGGGUUUUCUGUAAUUUAGCCCCUUUUUUUAUAAAAAAAAAUCAUUUAUUUG
rnacentral:lncRNA from 1 species